UCGAGGAUCUUCGGCAAUGGGCGCAAGCCUGACCGAGCGACGCCGCGUGUGCGAUGAAGGCCUUCGGGUUGUAAAGCACUGUCGAGGGGGAGAAAGCCGAAAGGUUGAUCUAUCCCUGGAGGAAGCACGGGCUAAGUUCGUGCCAGCAGCCGCGGUAAGACGAACCGUGCGAACGUUGUUCGGAAUCACUGGGCUUAAAGGGCGCGUAGGCGGGCGGCCAAGUUCGGGGUGAAAUCCUCCAGCUCAACUGGAGAACGGCCUCGAAUACUGGACGUCUCGAGGGAGGUAGGGGCGUGCGGAACUAUGGGUGGAGCGGUGAAAUGCGUUGAUAUCCAUAGGAACUCCGGUGGCGAAGGCGGCACGCUGGACCUUUUCUGACGCUGAGGCGCGAAAGCCAGGGGAGCAAACGGG
rnacentral:rRNA from 1 species